rnacentral:rRNA from 1 species
GGAAGAAGACAAAACUAAAUGAUCCGGUUCAUUAUUGGCAUCCUUGUGAGUCCUUGUGAACAGUUCUGAAGAUAGCUUUUAGAGACUAAUUACAGUGAUAUUUCUCUCAAUCUUUUUCUACAAAAUAGCCUUUUCAUGUGUGUGAGAGAAGUGAGAAGAGCAAUGGGCAGUAGUAGAUGCAAAUCAACCUUGUUCCCAGCUUUCAGAGAAUGAUGCAUGAUGCAGCAGAGAUGGCAUAUCUGUUUUCUCAUGACAUGGGUACUAGUAAUGCAACAACUUGCAGCUGUAUGCCUCUGAAUGUUCCUAAUGGGAGCCUCCUCAUUCUGUGAAUGUGUGUCUGUGUCCUCAAUAGUAUGGUCCUCCUCACCAGAUGUUAUGCAGUAUACACCUUUUUAGUACAAACUUUUAGAAUUUUUUUUAACUUCUCACAAUUAAUAUACAUGAACUUGAUUAUCUUUUUGACAUGUACUGAUAUCAGCUUCGUUGGAUUUUCGUGCGUGUGCUUGUAAC